rnacentral:rRNA from 1 species
CCCUUAGAUGUUCUGGGCUGCACGCGCGCUACACUGAAGCGUUCAACGAGUAUUCACCUUGCCCGGGAGGGUUGGGUAAUCUUUUGAAAACGCUUCGUGAUGGGGAUAGAUUAUUGCAAUUAUUAAUCUUCAACGAGGAAUUCCUAGUAAACGCAAGUCAUCAACUUGCAUUGAUUACGUCCCUGCCCUUUGUACACACCGCCCGUCGCACCUACCGAUUGAAUGGUCCGGUGAAGCCUCCGGAUUGGCGCGCACCUCGGUGCCGCCGAGAAGUUGGCUAAACCUUACCAUUUAGAGGAAGGUGAANUCGUAACA